CUUUUGUAUGAAAGGAAAGAAAGGUAGCGCUCUCCUGGACAAGAACAGAAGAGGCCCAUGGGCCUCACAACGUGCAGACCAUUAAGGCAUUGCCACCUACUUCACGGCUUUUUCCACUUCUACUU